AGCGAACGCUGGCGGCAGGCCUAACACAUGCAAGUCGAACGAACUCUUCGGAGUUAGUGGCGGACGGGUGAGUAACACGCGGGAACGUGCCUUUAGGUUCGGAAUAACUCAGGGAAACUUGUGCUAAUACCGAAUGUGCCCUUCGGGGGAAAGAUUUAUCGCCUUUAGAGCGGCCCGCGUCUGAUUAGCUAGUUGGUGAGGUAAAGGCUCACCAAGGCGACGAUCAGUAGCUGGUCUGAGAGGAUGAUCAGCCACAUUGGGACUGAGACACGGCCCAAACUCCUACGGGAGGCAGCAGUGGGGAAUCUUGCGCAAUGGGCGAAAGCCUGACGCAGCCAUGCCGCGUGAAUGAUGAAGGUCUUAGGAUUGUAAAAUUCUUUUACCGGGGACGAUAAUGACGGUACCCGGAGAAGAAGCCCCGGCUAACUUCGUG
rnacentral:rRNA from 1 species